UCAGGCCUCGCGGGCAGCGCUUGGGUCCGCGCGCCCGGCCGCGGCCACCCACCGGUCGGGGCACCUUGUGUCCUCCCGCCCCGAGCGCCGCGGGCGCUUCUGCUUCCACCCGCCGCACAGGGCCGGGGCUUGCGGGGCCGCUACUCCGCAGUGCCCCGCUCCGCCCUUCCCAGGCCGACCUGGGAAGUCCUGGGAUCCUCGGCCCCCGCCCGAAAGCGGGUGAGGGGAUCCGGGGGUGGGAGGAAAAGCCGCGGGGCCACUGCUCGUCCCGCGGGGCGUCCGUUAGGAACGAAGCGCCGCUUCCGUCUCGGAGCCGCGCUCUGGCCGGCGCCCUCGAGAGUCGGUGCGGUUCACCCGCCGCAGCCGUGCGUCGCUCGGGCCUGGUCGGGCGUCGUCGCUGCGCGCCUCUGCCGAUGAGAGGGCGUCGUGCGCCCCCGCGUCCCCGGGAAGGAGCCGUCUAGGACGGAUCGCUGCUCCCAGGCCCUUCGUGCCGCCGCCGCAGGAGAGCCUCUGCGCGGCGGUGCGGCCCCGGUCCGCGGCCCCGGCGGCUCUGCGGUGCCCUGAAGAGCUGUUGGGACUUGGAAACUGCCUCUCCGGCACCGCCAUGCAGGAUUCUCGGAAGCGCGAGAGCGCGGACACCUGGAAAUGGUGCCCUCCCCGCCCUUCGUCUGCACGCCUGCCUCCCCGCGAGCCCUCGGAACUGACGGCCCCUCCGGCGCAGCUCUCCUCCCCUCCGAAGUACGGGCCGGAGAGCACUUCGAGUUGAGAAUCCUGACUGCGGAGAGGGCCGAGAGUAACCAGCCCCUAAAAAGGAAGGAAGCUCUCCAUGAGACGGUGAAAGGAUUGAAGCUUCCUGGUUAGCUUUCUACAAAAGACCAACACCAAAGGCCCUCAUUGGCAACCCGAGGACCCCUCUCACUCCUGAGAGCUUUUUCUGUGUCUUCACUUAAUAAACUUCUUACAAACUAA